UACGUAGGGGGCAAGCGUUGUCCGGAAUCAUUGGGCGUAAAGAGCGCGUAGGCGGCCCUGUAAGUCCGCUGUGAAAGUCAAGGGCUCAACCCUUGGAUGCCGGUGGAUACUGCAGGGCUAGAGUCCGGAAGAGGCGAGUGGAAUUCCUGGUGUAGCGGUGAAAUGCGCAGAUAUUAGGAGGAACACCGGUGGCGAAGGCGCUGCUCUGGGCCGAUACUGACGCUGAGGAGCGAAAGCGUGGGUAGCAAACAGG
rnacentral:rRNA from 1 species